rnacentral:rRNA from 1 species
UAAUACAGAGGUCCCAAGCGUUGUUCGGAUUCACUGGGCGUAAAGGGUGCGCAGGUGGCGCUUCAAGUUUGAUGUGAAAGCUUCGGGCUUAACCCGGAAAUGGCAUUGAAUACUGGAGUGCUGGAGGUUUGGAGGGGGGACUGGAAUUCUCGGUGUAGCAGUGAAAUGCGUAGAUAUCGAGAGGAACACCAGUGGCGAAGGCGAGUCCCUGGACAACACCUGACACUGAGGCACGAAAGCUAGGGGAGCAAACAGGAUUAGAUACCCUGGUAGUCCUAGCCCUAAACGGUGCGCGUUUGCUGUGGGAGGAAUCGACCCCUUCCGUGGCGAAGCUAACGCGAUAAACGCGCCGCCUGGGGAGUACGGUCGCAAGAUUA